UCCCAUAUUGUCUAGUGGUUAGGAUACCUGGCACUCACCCAGGAGGCCCGGGUUCAAUUCCCGGUAUGGGAA
rnacentral:tRNA from 1 species